rnacentral:misc_RNA from 1 species
CAGCGGCCAUUAUAAAUAUUGUCACAAUCAUCGUAACGUAUAUAAACUCGAUCGAUUUAAGAUCUUUCAAUAGGAAACGAUGGAUAGCUUUAUUGUUGUUUACUAAAUUCAUUAUAAAUACCCUAAUUUAUCCCUCCUUUUUUUUUUUUUUCUUUAUGCCUUCGUUCUGAGACACUAUCGUUAUGUGCAAGGGAAUGGAUGAUGCAGAGUUUGAUAAUAUGUGGUCGGAUGACCAAAAAAUGAGUGUUAUGUUUUCGGUUUUUCGUGAUAAAUCAGUGAAUCCUCUUUCGUGGGACCAAAAAAUGAAUUUCUGGCAGGUAGCCAUCGAACGUUACUGUGAAAAAAACGAGUUGGUUAUUGUACUUCCGAGUACCUUGCCCACGUAUUUUACCAGAAAAGGUCGGACCCCACAAUGUCUCGAUGUUGUCGUUGCAGAGAUGAAGCGGAUUGGUAAACUGAAAACUUUGUCUGUUUUGGAAGCAGAAAGUGUCUCAAUGGGUUGGCUGUAUUGGGGUUAUGCUAAAUUCAUCAGAAGUCCAUUAUCAUGGGCGGUGAAUUUAGCAUCGAGCAUGAUUUCCAAGAAUAAUAAAUGUCUUGAAGAAAGUGUGAUGACAGAGGUCUUGAAGAAGAAAGCAGAGCAGCUGUUAAGCAUUCACUUAGAACGCGUGCGAACUCACCAGGAGAGUGACAUUAUAGAUUACAAUAGUCUGGUGGAACAACAUGCUGAUCUGUUCAAGGACAAGAGAGAAGUGCCAUUGCUAGUGUCCUAUUUAGUUAAACAGCAGAAGGCUCUCUUAAUACCUCAGGGAAACAACAAAAAUCCUUUAAUCAAGUUUACUGACAACCAGAAUGUUAACGUUUCUCCUGUCAAAUGCACAGAUCUUAAGAUAUAUCAGAUACAGUGUGUUGAGAUUCGAUUGGGAAAACAAGUGAACACUUUGACUGAAGAUAUUAAACGACUUUCUAAAGAAGCUCGAGAACAUGUGAAAAGCAAAUCACGCCAACUGGCUCUUUACACACUGAAGAGAAAAAAGAACUGUGAAAUGAUCCUGGAAAAGAAAUUAGCUACUUUGGAUAUUCUUCAUAGUUUGAUUGACAAAAUUAAAACUGUCACCACUGACCAACAGGUUCUCGAAGCUUAUGCAUGUGGUGUUUCUGCAAUGAAGGUGCUAACCAAAGACAUCAAUCUUGAGAAGGCGGAAAAUGUAAUCGACCAGCUACAUGAUACUCUUGGAGAACAGGAAGAAGUUAGCCACUUGUUGGCCAAUGCCUGGCCAGAUUCCAAUGAAGAUUCUGAAGCAUUAGAGGAUGAGUUGCAGAAAUUGAUCAAAGAAGAGGAAUGUGCUGCAGAAGAUGAGGCUCUUGCCAAAUCACUUUCCAAUUUGAGGAUUCAAGAUAAAUCUUUCUCCAAAGUAUCCACAUCAGAUCCUAUCACAGAAGAAGCAGCUCCUUUGUUGGAGGAAGACGAUGACGAAAUACCAGUUUCUUCUACAAAAUCAAAAUCUAAAUCUAAAUCUAAAUCUGCUGCAGCUCUCCCGGCCUUUUAAAUAUUAUUAUUAUUGUUGUUAUUAUUAUUAUUGAUGAUGAUGAUGAUGAUGAUGAUGAUGAUGAUGAUGAUUUUAUCACUAUGAA